GACGAACGCUGGCGGCGUGCCUAAUACAUGCAAGUUGAGCGCUGAAGGUUGGUACUUGUACCAACUGGAUGAGCAGCGAACGGGUGAGUAACGCGUGGGGAAUCUGCCUUUGAGCGGGGGACAACAUUUGGAAACGAAUGCUAAUACCGCAUAAAAACUUUAAACACAAGUUUUAAGUUUGAAAGAUGCAAUUGCACCACUCAAAGAUGAUCCCGCGUUGUAUUAGCUAGUUGGUGAGGUAAAGGCUCACCAAGGCGAUGAUACAUAGCCGACCUGAGAGGGUGAUCGGCCACAUUGGGACUGAGACACGGCCCAAACUCCUACGGGAGGCAGCAGUAGGGAAUCUUCGGCAAUAGACGAAAGUCUGACCGAGCAACGCCGCGUGAGUGAAGAAGGUUUUCGGGUCGUAAAACUCUGUUGGUAGAGAAGAACGUUGGUGAGAGUGGAAAGCUCAUCAAGUGACGGUAACUACCCAGAAAGGGACGGCUAACUACGUG
rnacentral:rRNA from 1 species